CCUGGGGGUCCCUGGGCCCUGCCUGACCCCUGAUUCCCUCCUCUCCAUUUGCAGUUCCUUCUUCUAGGUUCUGUGGAUUCCAGCACAGGUUUGGGGGUGGUCUGGAUGUCCCCUGGGGGUCCCUGGGCCCUGCCUGACCCCUGAUUCCCUCCUCUCCAUUUGCAGUUCCUUCUUCUAGGUUCUGUGGAUUCCAGCACAGGUUUGGGGGUGGUCUGGAUGUCCCCUGGGGGUCCCUGGGCCCUGCCUGACCCCUGAUUCCCUCCUCUCCAUUUGCAGUUCCUUCUUCUAGGUUCUGUGGAUUCCAGCACAGGUUUGGGGGUGGUCUGGAUGUCCCCUGGGGGUCCCUGGGCCCUGCCUGACCCCUGAUUCCCUCCUCUCCAUUUGCAGUUCCCUCUUCUAGGUUCUGUGGAUUCCAGCACAGAUUUGGGGGGUGGUCUGGAUGUCCCCUGGGGUUCCCUGGGCCCUGCCUGACCCCUGAUUCCCUCCUCUCCAUUUGCAGUUCCUUCUUCUAGGUUCUGUGGA